CUGUCGACGAAAGGGGAAGCAGUCCUCACAAGCAGACCCAUUUCGAGAUGGCUAGUUACACAGCAAUGAUGGUAAUAUGUGUUGUGUUACUCCUGGUCACAGAUAUAAAGGCUCAGGAUCCAGAUCUUCGACCACAAGAUUGGAGUGCAGAACAAGG